rnacentral:rRNA from 1 species
CCACCUGGGGAGUACGUUCGCAAGAAUGAAACUCAAAGGAAUUGACGGGGGCCCGCACAAGCGGUGGAGCAUGUGGUUUAAUUCGAUGAUACGCGAGGAACCUUACCAGGGCUUAAAUGUAGUCUGACAGGGGUGGAAACACCCUUUUCUUCGGACAGAUUACAAGGUGCUGCAUGGUUGUCGUCAGCUCGUGCCGUGAGGUGUCAGGUUAAGUCCUAUAACGAGCGCAACCCCUGUGGUUAGUUGCCAGCGAGUAAUGUCGGGAACUCUAGCCAGACUGCCGGUGCAAACCGUGAGGAAGGUGGGGAUGACGUCAAAUCAUCACGGCCCUUACGUCCUGGGCCACACACGUGCUACAAUGGUAGGGACAGAGAGCAGCCACUUCGCGAGAAGGAGCGAAUCUACAAACCCUAUCACAGUUCGGAUCGCAGUCUGCAACUCGACUGCGUGAAGCUGGAAUCGCUAGUAAUCGCAUAUCAGCCA